GGCCUGAUAGUUCAGUGGUAGAAUUCUUGCUUUGGGUACUCUAAUUGUAAGAGGUCUCCGGUUCGAUCCCGGAUUAGGCCC
rfam:Blumeria graminis f. sp. hordei DH14, WGS project CATH01000000 data, contig: 001137